rnacentral:siRNA from 1 species
UGAAUAUUGUUUUGAAUGUGUU